UAUUUAUUAUUAUUAUUAUUUAAAUUAUAGACACAGAGUCUUAUACUGUUGCCCAGGCUGGUCUCAAACUCCGGGCUUCAAGCAAUCCUCCCACUUGGGCCUCCCAAAACAUUGCACUCCAGCCUGGGAGACAAGAGCGAAACUCAGUCUCAAAAAUAAAUAAAUAAAUAAAAAUACAAAAAUUAGCUGGGCAGGAUGGCACACACCUGUAAUCCCAGCUUCAAAGGAGUCUGAGGCAAGAGAAUUGCUGGAACCCAAGAGGAAGAGAUUGCAGUGAGCUAAGAUUGAGCCACUGCACUCCAGCCUGGUCGACAGAGUGAGACUGUCUCAAAAAAAAAAAAAAAAAAGGAUGAUGAAGCUGUCUACAUAGUCUCGAACUCUUGGCCUCAAGUAAUUCUCUUGCCUUGGCCUCCCAAAGCGGUGGGAUUACAGAUGUGAGCCACCACAACUGGCCAAUAUUAUUAUUAUUAUUGAUUUUUUUUUUUUUUUAGAGAUAGAGUCUCGUGGCCGGGCAUGGUAGCUCGCGCCUGUAAUCCCAGCACUUUGGGAGGCCAAGGUGGGCAGAUCACUUGAGGUCAGUACUAAAAAUACAAAAAAUUAGCUGGGCGUGGUGGCACACGCCUGUAGUCCCAGCUACUCGAGAGGCUAAGGCAGGAGACCUGGGUUCAAGCAAUUAUCCUGCCUCAGGCUUCCAAGUAGUUGAGAUUACGAGCAUACACCACCAUACUCAGCUAAUAUUUGUAUUUUUAUUAGUGACGGGGUUUCACCAUGUUUGUGAACAGGCUGGUCUCGAAUUCCUGACCUCAAGUGAUCUGCUUGCCUUGGCCUCCCAAAGUGCUGGGAUUACAGGUGUGAGCCACCACUCCUGGCCCAAUAACAAUAGUUCUUAUUUUAGUAAUAAUAAUAAUUGCUUCUACUUACUGAGCCCUUAUUGCCUGAGCCGAAGCAUUGCUCUAAGCCCUUUACUUGUAUUAAAUGAUGUAAUUAUUUUUACGAGCUGGGCACAAUGGCUCAUGCCUGUAGUCCCAGCUACUAGGGAGGCUGAGGUGGGAAGAUUUCUUGAGCCCAGAACUUGGAGGCUGCAGUGAGCUAUAAGCUAUGAUCAUGCCACCAUACUCCAGCCUGGGCAACAGAACAAGACCUUGUCUCUCUUUUAUUUUUUUCUCUUUUGAGACAGGGUCUCACUCUGUCACCCAAACUGGAGUGCAGUGGGGCGAUCUUGGCUCACUGCAACCUCUGCCUCCUGGGCUCGAGGGAUCCUCCCACCUUAGCCUUCCAAGUAGCUGGGACCACAGGCACACACCAUCAUGCCCAGCUAAUUUUUGUAUUUAGCCAUGAGCCUCCAUGCCCGGCAAGACCUUGUCUCUUAAAAAAAAUUUAUUAUGUUGAAUAAGAGAGGUUUUAUUAUUAUUUCCAUAGUACAGAUGCAGAAUCUGAGCCUCAGUUUUAGAAAUUUGCCCAAAAUUACAUAACCAGUAAAUGACAGAGCUGAGAUGUGAACUCAAACAUCCACUUCUUGAGUCUGAAUAUCCAUUUUCUGUUUUCCUAGCUCUUACCAAGCUAGCCUGCUGAGGGACUAUGCUAGUGUCCACACAGGCAUGGGUCCUUCACCCACAGAGCCGCACUGCCACCCCAGGGAUCACUUUCCAGGUUUGAGGCCCUGGGCCCCUGGAUCUAGGGUAAGACAUGCAUCCCUGGAGCCUUGGAACUGGGCAGAGCUGAAGUUUCGGUCCAUCUUGGAAGCACUAAACUACAGACAUGCCCUGUGUCUUGUCCCAUCCCCCUAUUAUUAAGUCCUGAGUCUUCCUCCCUGGCUGGUGAUGUGCUGAGAGUGAUAAGAAGAUAACAGCAAGACAGACAGAGUGAGAGCGACAGGCUGACUUACGUAACCUGGUGGAAAGUGAUACAGGCAGAUUCGCUGAUGGGAAACAAACAGAAAGGGAGUCAGGCAGAGCUUCCUGGAAUCCAGGUCUAGGAGCUGCCAAAAACAGGCCUCCUCUCUUAGGAACAAUUGAAUGUCACUGCAGUAACCGAACACUGCUGGCCAGAGAGGCCUCCUGCCCACAGCCUCACAGAGCGGCCUGUGUGAGCCAGGACAGGCUCCAGAGGAAAAAAGGGCCUGGCAAGGUGCCCUGUGAGGCUAUCUGAGGAGACAUUGCAGUUCCUCACCCUGGAUGGGCCUCCACCAGCACAGGGCUGCGAGUUGAAGGCCAGGGAAUUCCCAGGGCGAGUCCCAGGCACAGAGGCUGUGAGCUAGGAGGGCUCUAACCUGGGGUUA
rnacentral:lncRNA from 10 species